rnacentral:rRNA from 1 species
UACGUAGGGUGCAAGCGUUAAUCGGAAUUACUGGGCGUAAAGCGUGCGCAGGCGGUUGUGUAAGACAGAUGUGAAAUCCCCGGGCUUAACCUGGGAACUGCGUUUGAAACUGGAAGGCUUGAGUGUGGCAGAGGGGGGUGGAAUUCCACGUGUAGCAGUGAAAUGCGUAGAGAUGUGGAGGAACACCGAUGGCGAAGGCAGCCCCCUGGGCUAACAUCGCGACGCUCAUGCACGAAAGCGUGGGGAGCAAACAGG